CAGGACGAACGCUGGCGGCGUGCCUAACACAUGCAAGUCGAGCGAGGAGAUCCUUCGGGAUGAUCCUAGCGGCGGACGGGUGAGUAACACGUGGGCAACCUGCCUCAUAGAGAGGAAUAGCCUUCCGAAAGGGAGAUUAAUACCUCAUAACAUUGCAGUUUCGCAUGGAACAGCAAUUAAAGGAGUAAUCCGCUAUGAGAUGGGGCCCGCGGCGCAUUAGCUAGUUGGUGAGGUAACGGCUCACCAAGGCGACGAUGCGUAGCCGACCUGAGAGGGUGAUCGGCCACAUUGGGACUGAGACACGGCCCAGACUCCUACGGGAGGCAGCAGUGGGGAAUAUUGCACAAUGGGGGAAACCCUGAUGCAAGCAACGCCGCGUGAGUGAUGACGGCCUUCGGGUUGUAAAGCUCUGUCUUCAGGGACGAUAAUGACGGUACCUGAGGAGGAAGCCACGGCUAACUACGUGCCAGCAGCGGC
rnacentral:rRNA from 1 species